CAAAAACAUCGCCUUUUGUCUAACUAUAAGAGGUCAAGCCUGCCCAGUGACAUUGUUCAACGGCCGCGGUAUUCUAACCGUGCGAAGGUAGCGUAAUCACUUGUCUUUUAAAUGAGGACUAGUAUGAAUGGCUUCACGAAGGCUAUACUGUCUCCUUUAUUUAAUCAGUUAAACUAAUCUUCCCGUGAAGAAGCGGGAAUAAACCUAUAAGACGAGAAGACCCUAUGGAGCUUUAAACACUUCUAAACAUUUGACACCUGACAUUUCAACUUUCAGAAAACUUCAUUAAACCCAUCAAUUUGUUUUAAGUUUUAGGUUGGGGUGACCACGGAGAACAACCAAACCUCCACGUAGAAAGAACCUCUCUCUAAGCAAAAAGCUACAGCUUUACGCAUCAAUAAUACUGACCUUAAUUGACCCAUUCUUUGAUCAACGAACCAAGUUACCCUAGGGAUAACAGCGCAAUCCGCUUUAAGAGCUCUUAUCGACAAGCGGGCUUACGACCUCGAUGUUGGAUCAGGGAAUCCCAGUGGUGCAGCAGCUACUAAUGGUUCG
rnacentral:rRNA from 1 species